AGAGAUCUACAUUAAUGCUUAUUGCCUGUGUCGUCACUGUAUCUUUAGUGUUUUACUUGAGUAUCUGUCAUCUUAACAAAGUACAUAUCAACCACGUACGAAGUAGAAAUAUAUUCUCGUUUAACUAGUGUUUUCAAAUUUUAUUUGCUUGAGGACAAGCAAAGAUUCAAGUUUAAGGGAGUUUGAUAACGCGAAAAUACAUCGCAUAUUUGCCUUGAUUUACACUAAAAAAUCGUAACACUUUCAUUUAUAUUCUG
rnacentral:lncRNA from 1 species